rfam:Loxodonta africana unplaced genomic scaffold scaffold_5, whole genome shotgun sequence.
GGGUGUAAGAGUUUCCUGGCUGCAACAUCUGUCACCCCAUUGAUCACCAGGGUUGAUUUGGCUGAUCUGGCUGGCUAAGUGAGUGUCCCCUUUUUCCUUCACUAUUCCAUGUGUGCUUCUCCCAAACCUACGCACUCUAUCAAAGAGGAUGACCUUCCCCAAUAGAGAAGGACCAUUCUUUGGUCAAGGGUAUGUGAGUUUCUGUGCUUCUCUACUUAACCUUCUAAACAUGCUCUUCAAAAGGCCUUCCUGAUGUGCCAGCAUGCCCUGUACCAACACUCCAAGAGUGAUGAUGAUAUUUUUACUUCUU